rnacentral:rRNA from 1 species
CCAGCAGGCGGUGUCACAAGUGGGCUGUGAAAGCGCCCGGCUAAACCGGGCGAGGCCAGUCCAGACUGUGGCACUGGAGGACAGCAGAGGUGUGUGGAAUUCCGGGUGGAGUGGUGAAAUGCGUAGAGAUCCGGAGGAACACCAGAGGCGAAGGCGGCACACUGGGCUGUUUCUGACGCUGAGAGGCGACAGCUAGGGGAGCGAACG